rnacentral:rRNA from 1 species
UACGUAGGGGGCAAGCGUUGUCCGGAUUUAUUGGGCGUAAAGAGCGUGUAGGCGGCCAGGUAGGUCCGCUGUGAAAACUCGAGGCUCAACCUCGAGAUGUCGGCGGAAACCAUCUGGCUAGAGUCCGGAAGAGGAAAGUGGAAUUCCCGGUGUAGCGGUGAAAUGCGCAGAUAUCGGGAAGAACACCAGUGGCGAAGGCGCUCUACUGGGCCACAACUGACGCUGAGGGACGAAAGCUAGGGGAGCGAAAGGG